AGGACUAUAAAGGAAAAGGAAAACAAAAUUUUGUAAAGAAGUAUAAAGGAGACCCAAGUACAAAUAAUUAUCAGUUGUAUCCACUUUGCGGCAAGUGCUAAAAGCGUUAUGCUUGAGCGUGUCUCAUGUGUACCGGUGUAUGCUUCAACUGUGGUGAAACAGGCAAUAUGACAAAAAUAUGCCCUAAGGGACAAAAGUAGAAACAACAACAACAACAGAAGCC
rnacentral:lncRNA from 1 species